GACGAACGCUGGCGGCGUGCUUAACACAUGCAAGUCGAACGGUGAACGAGGGAGCUUGCUCCCUCCGGAUCAGUGGCGAACGGGUGAGUAACACGUGAGCAAUCUGCCCCGAACUCUGGGAUAAGCGUUGGAAACGACGUCUAAUACCGGAUACGACGCGGGAGGGCAUCCUCUCCGCGUGGAAAGAACUUCGGUUCGGGAUGAGCUCGCGUCCUAUCAGCUUGUUGGUGAGGUAACGGCUCACCAAGGCGACGACGUGUAGCCGGCCUGAGAGGGUGACCGGCCACACUGGGACUGAGACACGGCCCAGACUCCUACGGGAGGCAGAAGUGGGGAAUAUUGCACCAUGGGCGCAAGCCUGAUGCAGCAAAGCCGCGUGAGGGAAGACGGCCUUCGGGUUGUAAACCUCUUUUAGCAGGGAAGAAGCGAAAGUGACGGUACCUGCAGAAAAAGCACCGGCUAACUCCGUG
rnacentral:rRNA from 1 species